GCCUGGGUGGCUCAGUCGGUUGAGCGUCCGACUUCAGCUCAGGUCAUGAUCUCACAGUUCGUGGGUUCGAGCCCGGCAUCAGGCU
rnacentral:tRNA from 1 species